ensembl:lncRNA
CAGCGAAGAUAAAAUUAUGCACAUGAAUUAUGCAUCUGAAUUAUGAUUUCACUCCUAUUUUUGUUGGGAUUAGCUCAUGUUUGGUGUGUAUCCCUGGCAGGUUGCUGGCGGUUCGGCAGCUAGCAGAGUGCUUGAUCCAACUCCCAGCAGGUCGCUGUGGUUUCAGGUCCCAUGUUCCUGGCUCCUCACAGAGCUUCCUGGGAUCCAGCCCACCAGCAACGAUGGCAGCCCCUGCUCCUUCACGCCUCUCGGGCCUGGGAAGAGACAGAGCUGAUGCAUCAGCAAGGUGAGGAGGAGGCAGAAGAACCAGCAGCAGCUCCCAGGUCAUCAUCACUUUGUCAAAAUCAGCAGGUAUCUGCCGUGCCCUUCAGCUCUCUAUUGUGGCUUCUGUUUAGUUUGGUUUCCCCAUGGCAGCUGUCUCCAUCCCUGCAUUAUCAAACCACCUGCCUGAAUUUCAAGGAAGUCAUGCAUAUAUUCAACAGGAAUAUCAAUUCCCAGGAGCUCCUGGGGGGCCUUGAGAUCAGAGCAGCUAAACCAGGGAUUUCUGCUCACACCGCCAGGGCUGGAACUUGCCUUGGCUGGGAUGUGUGCUGGGGGGGUGCCCUGGGGCUGAGCCCCAUCCCAGCAGCAUCACACUGGUGGGACCAGCCUGGGAGAAACCAGCCCGAGUGAGGGCACCUCCUCCAUAUGUUUUUUAAACCAAAGGUGGCUCCUGAAAUCAAUAGAGAAGGCAAUUCCUCCACAGCCUGGGGAACCAUCCUGUCCACAUUCCUCCCUGAGACCUUUAAAGGAGCUGAGGAAUCCAAUUCCUACUAAUUUGCUUUGAAAAUACCAACUUAAAAUUGCAAUUCUGGCAUGCUGGGAGGAAAGACCCGACCGGACUGUAGCUUCCCUAAGACAACAGUUUUGAUGAUUUAUUAAGAUUUACAUUUUUAACAGUAUUAUGUUGGUUAAUGUUAAGAUGUUCCUACGAUUAAUGAAAAUUUCAUACACUGACUGGGGAAGAAAGAGCCCAUUUUAUGUCCCCACCAGAUGGCCUAGACCAGCUGCUCACUUUUCUUCUUUGAACUGUGAUUCUAAUGACUUCUCUGUCCUUUGAAGUCUGCUUCUGAGCUGCUGAACCAGAUGUAUUUGCAUGACAGCAGCAGAGUUUAACAGACGAGGACUUGUGCUAUUUUCCCUCAUACCCCACCACAUUUGCUCUUGUUUGGUGGUUUGGAGGGGUGAGUAAACACAAAGGCUUUCCAGGCACUGCUAAAGUGUACCUUGGUGUAACAUCACCAGCUUCAGUGGAGUAAUUCCCUAAACCCACAGCAUCUUUACCCAGCUCUGGGCUGGUUUAUAAACCCAUGAGCAGUGUCAGUCUGCUUUCAGUCACGGAUUUAUGAGGGUAUCACAAAAGCAGGAGCUGCUGUCAGAACACACAUUUCAGCACUGUUUUCAAAACAGAACAAAAAAAGGAAGAGCUUUAAAUAUGUAUUAAGAAGUUUUAAAAAGAAUAAAUCACAAAACAAAAUGGUGACAAAAGGAACAAAACCCAAGAAGAUCCCUAAGUGUGGGUUUGGUGGAAUUUUAUGCCAAAUAGAGAAGUCGGGGAGGCAAUGCUGACAUUCCUGGCUUUCAGAUUUCAUACCCAAAGCAGCCCUGCCUGAUUCCAUCCCCAGAUGCUGCUUCCCAGAGCACUUGCAGGCUAUCAAGCAGCUGCACUGCCCAGAGCAAUGGCUGGGCUGAGAUGGCAGAGAGUGCUCUAAAAUCAUCCUCCCACAAUAUUAACACGCUUGAGGGUGUCUCUCUGCUCCGUGUUUCACUGCGACUGCCUUGGAGGCCUGUUAGGGACUUCUGUGGAACAAAUAAUAAAUGGAAUGAUAAAGGUAAGGAGCACAGCAAUUAGUCAGAACCAGACAGCUCCAGGGCAAAGAAGAAAGCCAAGGCGACGGUGCUGGUGGCACAGCAUGUACUUUUCUUACACGAGGUGCUCAGUCUGAUAAGGAGAUGAAGGGAAGGUAAAGUGAGGUGAACAAGAGGUAAGACGGUCUCUCGAGUGAGGUUCCAGAGCUUGGCUUUGCCUGGCUGUGCCAUGGAAGGAAAGGACACCAUGCCCCGAUCCUGCAGCUCUCCUGCUCCGUCCUGGGUGAUGCAGAUCCCUGUGUUGGCAGCGGUCCACAUGCAGCAGGCUUGGCUCGUCCCCAGUCAAGUGUAUUUCCUCAUCAACUGGGGCCUUUCAGUCCUUGGCUUCUCUCCUGGGGUCCUGUUCCCAAGGAAGUGGCAAUAGGCCGUCUGUUCAUUUGAUGCAAGAAGUGAAUUCCAGGUGAGGUGCAGAUCAUAUCUGGAGGAGCGUCUGUAAAGGCAAGUAGGUUUCUCUUCCCAACUAUCAGUCCCUUGUGUCCCCAGUGCUGUAAAUCUGUUACAUCUCUGUGCCUCGACCAGGUACAGACAGAUCUAGGACAGGGCGAUGGGUGUGCGACAGGAACAGCCUGUUACAGUUCAGCAGCCCUCCUCUGCGCUCUGAUUUCAGGUUAUAUCCGUCUCUUACAGUUGCUUUUAACGAAACACUGAGUGUCCACAAUGGUUAAAACCUGCACAGUCCCCCCAAACUGCUCCUUGGGGAGCACAGUGCAUGGCUGCCCAGUGCUUCUGCGCCAGUCAGCGGUCACCGGGCCACAGCCAGGAUGGAUCUGGGCAUUGUGGUCACUGUAUGUAUGGACAGUGCCACCUGCUGUGGUGCUCCCCACCGCCAUGGCACCCAGUCCCAAGACCUGGAGCUGCGAUCACUGCCUGGGGCAGGCGCUUGUGCUUGUCUUGCUGCUCCAUCAUCAUGAAUUCUCCUUCCUUCCUGGGUUCAGUGCCAUAUGAGAGCGGAAUGGCCGUGAGGGUAACAUUGCCGUGAGGGUGACAUGGCUGUGAGGGUGACAUGCUAUGAUGGUGGCAGUGCCAUGAUGGUGAUGCGGCUGUGACAGUGACAUGGCUGUGAGGGUGACGUUGCUAUGAUGGUGGCAGUGCCAUGAUGGUGACACUGGUGUGAUGGUGACGCGGCUGUGAGAGUGAUGAUGCUAUGAUGGUGGCAGUGCUGUGAGGGUGACACAGCCACAAGGGUGACAGGGCUGUGAGGGUGAUGCUGUUGUGAUGGUGGCGGUGCAGUGAUGGUGGCGGUGCAGUGAGGGUGACAUGGCUGUGAGGGUGACACUGCUGUGAGGGUGACAUUGCUAUGAUGGUGCCAGUGCUGUGAGGGUGACACAGCCACAAGGGUGACAGGGCU